GGGCCGUUAGCUCAGCGGUAGAGCACCUCAUUUGCAAUGAGGGGGUCGCCGGUUCAAGUCCGGCACGGUCCACCA
rnacentral:tRNA from 4 species